rnacentral:rRNA from 1 species
UACGUAGGGUCCAAGCGUUGUCCGGAUUUAUUGGGCGUAAAGAGCGUGUAGGCGGUUUUACAGGUCCGCUGUGAAAACUCGAGGCUCAACCUCGAGACGUCGGUUGAAACCGUUUGGCUAGAGUCCGGAAGAGGAGAGUGGAAUUCCCGGUGUAGCGGUGAAAUGCGCAGAUAUCAGGAGGAACACCGAUGGCGAAGGCAGAUCUCUGGGCCGUAACUGACGCUGAGGAGCGAAAGCGUGGGGAGCGAACAGG